UGGUGUGAUUUUCAGGCUACCAGUCAGAGACUCAAAUCACCAUAUGGCCAGGUGGGAUCUAGCACCUUAACCACAACACUCCCUGCUAUUAAAUGACAGGCCAGCAUGCACACAGAGAGAUCAUAGCUCCAGAAAGCUUCCUAUCCUGAAGUUCUACACCAUCCAGCCCAUGACCAAGACCACCGUAUUACAGAGAUCAUCCUAACAAUUCUGAUUUAAAUGGCCAGAGAAAAAGCACAGGAAUCAACAUUUUGGGAGAAAAAAAAAAGCAUAGAAAUAAACUUUUCAGGCUCAGCCACAUUUGUUGGCAUAGUGCAGUGCUCUGGAGCUGCUUAUGGAAGAUUGGAGUUCAGUUUCCCCCCCAGCCUGUAUGCGCCAGCCUGUGAUCCC